CGGCGGCGCCCUUUGUUCCCGCGCCCGGCCUCCGCCCGCCCGCGGCGGGGACGCUGCCGCCCGAGCCCCGGCUCCCUCACGGCCGCCCCGCGGAGGCCGGAGGCGCGAGGCCGGGGACGCCUCUCCGUCCCCGGGGGCCGGCGGCGGCGGGGCCGGGGUGCCCCGGGCUGCGCCGAAGGCGUGCGGACUCAACAGCCGGGCCGAGCGGGGCAAUGGCUUCCUGGGCCGACCGGCCCUUCCAGAAGGUUCUGCCCGGGGUCAGACGGGCUGGGCCUGGCGCUGGGCUUGGGUCCCAGGAACCUCCCUCCGGACUUUGGAUCCCUGUGCAGCGCCUCGGGGCCCCCGGAGGCCGGGAAGAAGCGGAGGGAGGUCCGGAAUUUUCCAUGCUGGGUGUCAGGACGACCUCCAGGGCCGGGCCCCGGGCUUUGUCAAUGAUCCAUGGCUGAACCCAGCAGCCGGCUUCCCCGCAGGACAAGACACGUGCCUGGAAGACCCGCCGGAGUGGGCCUCAGCCUGGAAACCUCGGAGAAAGUCAUGAUGGGCCCCGGUGUACAGCCCUGAAGAAUCCAAGGCUUCCUUAGAAAAUUGAACAUGACCUUAACCUUGGACCUAGCAGCUCCUCUUCUAGGAGUUUACCCUGCUGCUGCCAGAUGUGCAGGAGUGAGCAAAGCUGUUCAGUAAAGCGUUGUUCUGUGACAGCCCCGAACAGAAAGUCACGUCUCCAAAACGUGCCACUUUUGAAAAAACUGGGCAAGAACUCCUGUCCCACGCCGCGCGAGAGCCACCACCUACAUGGAAGAAGAGAAGCCUGACACCCUUUCACCUCAUCCCAUGAAGGCGGCCGCCCAGUGGAGCAGUGGCUUCUCCCAAACUAGGAAGUAGACCUCCCUCAAGGUCAUCCUGAAAAGUCCUGGGCAAACUUGGAAGUCGGUGGUCUUCUGCUUCCACUUGAUCACCCAUUCACACCUCUCUGUUCCCGCCCCUCCACCUCCUUCCUUUUCCCCGGCUUCCCCAGAGGUGGUGCCUUAUGUGGGCUCCCUCAGAACCCAGAUCCCUGGCAUUGAACUUGGGACACAUGCGAAGUCCAGUUAUUUCCUCUACAUACAGCCCGAGGUUUCCAUUACUCCCAUUGGUGAGAACACAAUUGCUAAGCAAGGAAUUUGAUUGGCGUGUGCAGGCUGCUUUGGGUUGAACUUUUGCAAGAAAAAAAGAGGUGUGGCUGGAGCAGAGCUACUCCCUUUUAUCAGGUCUUUUUAUCACACCGGGGAGAGGGAGCGAUAAGGGUUCCUGGGAAGCCCGUGCUAGAGACUCAUCUAACCCUUGCCCAGGUGUUAUGACUGUAAACCUAUGAAGUUAAAGCACUUUUAUUUUUACUGCAGAAAUUAAUUACUUUAUCAUUGUAAUUCAGAAACUCCCUAGCUCCAAACUCACUUUUUCACAUUGAAAUGAUAGUUUUAA